rnacentral:rRNA from 1 species
GUGAGGAAUAUUGGUCAAUGGACGAGAGUCUGAACCAGCCAAGUAGCGUGAAGGAUGACUGCCCUAUGGGUUGUAAACUUCUUUUAUACGGGAAUAAAGUGAGGCACGUGUGCCUUUUUGUAUGUACCGUAUGAAUAAGGAUCGGCUAACUCCGUGCCAGCAGCCGCGGUAAUACGGAGGAUCCGAGCGUUAUCCGGAUUUAUUGGGUUUAAAGGGAGCGUAGGCGGACGCUUAAGUCAGUUGUGAAAGUUUGCGGCUCAACCGUAAAAUUGCAGUUGAUACUGGGUGUCUUGAGUACAGUAGAGGCAGGCGGAAUUCGUGGUGUAGCGGUGAAAUGCUUAGAUAUCACGAAGAACUCCGAUUGCGAAGGCAGCCUGCUGGACUGUAACUGACGCUGAUGCUCGAAAGUGUGGGUAUCAAACAGGA